CUACGUGCCAGCAGCCGCGGUAAUACGGAGGGUGCGAGCGUUAAUCGGAAUAACUGGGCGUAAAGGGCACGCAGGCGGCUAUUUAAGUGAGGUGUGAAAUCCCCGGGCUUAACCUGGGAAUUGCAUUUCAGACUGGGUAGCUAGAGUACUUUAGGGAGGGGUAGAAUUCCACGUGUAGCGGUGAAAUGCGUAGAGAUGUGGAGGAAUACCGAAGGCGAAGGCAGCCCCUUGGGAAUGUACUGACGCUCAUGUGCGAAAGCGUGGGGAGCAAACAGGAUUAGAUACCCUGGUAGUCCACGCUGUAAACGCUGUCGAUUUGGGGAUUGGGCUUUAAGCUUGGUGCCCGUAGCUAACGUGAUAAAUCGACCGCCUGGGGAGUACGGCCGCAAGGUUAAAACUCAAAUGAAUUGACGGGGGCCCGCACAAGCGGUGGAGCAUGUGGUUUAAUUCGAUGCAACGCGAAGAACCUUACCUACUCUUGACAUCCAUGGAAUCUUGUAGAGAUACGAGAGUGCCUUCGGGA
rnacentral:rRNA from 1 species